AGAAAGUAGUGUAGUGGAAGCACUAAGA
rnacentral:tRNA from 1 species